CUAUUUCCUCGUCCCCUCUAAAUUUCUCUGUAUCUAUCUAUCCAAUAAUAAAUAAAUCAACUUUUUUUUUUUUUAGAAAGAGAGAGGGGGCUUCUCUCAAUUCAUGUCAAAUAAUAUUGCAUCCGCCGAUCGCAACCUAAUCAACGUAACGAGUGCCACCCCAGCAUGCUUCACUUCAGACUGUGUCCAGAGACUUCAGGUGUGGAAUGACAACCCUUCAGCUUCAUUACUCGGCCACCAGGUUCCAGAUGCCAGCAUGAUGCCAACCAGACUUCCCUGGACAGAAGACCCCACCAAUGUGUCCUGGAGCUCCGCUUCCCCAGAGCCCCACCCUACUAGGGAAAGAGAGAGACAGGCUGGGAGUAUGGGUCGACCAGUUAAUGCCCAUGUUCAGUGGGGAAACAACUACAGAAGCCAGACCUUCCACCUUCUACAACCCACAAUGACCUUGGGUCCAUGCUCCCAGAGGGAUAGAGAAUGGGAAAGCUAUCAGGGGAGGGGGUGGAAUAUGGAGAUCUGGUGGUGGGAAUUGUGUGGCGUUGUACCCCUCCUACCCUAUGGUUUUGUUAAUGUCUCCUUUUUAAAAAAAAUAAAAUAAAACAGAGGGGGCUAGG